UACGUAAGGACCGAGCGUUGUCCGGAAUCAUUGGGCGUAAAGGGAACGCAGCCGGAUAAGCAAGUUAGAAGUGAAAUCCUAUAGCUCAACUAUAGUAAGCUUUUAAAACUGCUCAUCUUGAGGUAUGGAAAGGUAAGUGGAAUUCCUAGUGUAGCGGUGAAAUGCGCAGAUAUUAGGAGGAAUACCGGUGGCGAAGGCGGCUUUCUGG
rnacentral:rRNA from 1 species